rnacentral:rRNA from 1 species
AACGCGAAGAACCUUACCAGGGUUUGACAUGCCUUCGCACCGGUCGGAAACGAUCGUGCCCGCAAGGGACGGAGGCACAGAUGCUGCAUGGCUGUCGUCAGCUCGUGCCGUGAGGUGUUGGGUUAAGUCCCGCAACGAGCGCAACCCGUGCGGCCAGUUACACUCUCUGGCCGGACUGCCGCGACUAACGCGGAGGAAGGUGCGGAUGAGGUCAAGUCAGCACGGCUCUUACAUCCUGGGCGACACACACGCUACAAUGGGCGGUACAACGGGUCGCGAAGCCUCGAGGCGGAGCCAAUCCCACCAAAGCCGUCCCCAGUUCAGAUCGCAGUCUGCAACUCGACUGCGUGAAGGUGGAGUUGCUAGUAACCGCAGGUCAGCACACUGCGGUGAAUACGUUCCCGGGCCUUGUACACACCGUACGUC